AAAAAAGGUAAGCUACUAAGAGCGAAUGGUGGAUGCCUUGACUGGUAAAGGCGAUGAAGGACGUACUAGACUGCGAUAAGCUACGGGGAGCUGUCAAGAAGCUUUGAUCCGUAGAUUUCCGAAUGGGGCAACCCAAUGUAUAGAGAUAUACAUUACCUAUAUAGGAGCGAACGAGGGGAAUUGAAACAUCUUAGUACCCUCAGGAAAAGAAAUCAAUAGAGAUUGCGUCAGUAGCGGCGAGCGAAAGCGUAAGAGGGCAAACCCAGUGCUUGCACUGGGGGUUGUAGGACUGCAAUGUGCAAGAGGUGAGUUUAGCAGAACAUUCUGGAAAGUAUAGCCAUAGAGGGUGAUAGUCCCGUAUGCGAAAAACAAACCUUAGCUAGCAGUAUCCUGAGUAGGGCGGGACACGAGAAAUCCUGUCUGAAGCUGGGUCGACCACGAUCCAACCCUAAAUACUAAUACCAGAUCGAUAGUGCACAAGUACCGUGAGGGAAAGGUGAAAAGAACUGAGGUGAUCAGAGUGAAAUAGAACCUGAAACCAUUUGCUUACAAUCAUUCAGAGCACUAUGUAGCAAUACAGUGUGAUGGACUGCCUUUUGCAUAAUGAGCCUGCGAGUUGUGGUGUCUGGCAAGGUUAAGCAAACGCGAAGCCGUAGCGAAAGCGAGUCUGAAUAGGGCGCUUAGUCAGAUGCUGCAGACCCGAAACGAAGUGAUCUAUCCAUGAGCAAGUUGAAGCUAGUGUAAGAACUAGUGGAGGACUGAACCCAUAGGCGUUGAAAAGCCCCGGGAUGACUUGUGGAUAGGGGUGAAAGGCCAAUCAAACUUCGUGAUAGCUGGUUCUCUCCGAAAUAUAUUUAGGUAUAGCGUUGUGUCGUAAUAUAAGGGGGUAGAGCACUGAAUGGGCUAGGGCAUACACCAAUGUACCAAACCCUAUCAAACUCCGAAUACCUUAUAUGUAAUCACAGCAGUCAGGCGGCGAGUGAUAAAAUCCGUCGUCAAGAGGGAAACAACCCAGACUACCAGCUAAGGUCCCUAAAUCUUACUUAAGUGGAAAACGAUGUGAAGUUACUUAAACAACCAGGAGGUUGGCUUAGAAGCAGCCAUCCUUUAAAGAAAGCGUAAUAGCUCACUGGUCUAGUGAUUUUGCGCGGAAAAUAUAACGGGGCUAAAGUAAGUACCGAAGCUGUAGACUUGAUUUUAUCAAGUGGUAGGAGAGCGUUCUAUUUGCGUCGAAGGUAUACCGGUAAGGAGUGCUGGAGCGAAUAGAAGUGAGCAUGCAGGCAUGAGUAGCGAUAAUUAAUGUGAGAAUCAUUAACGCCGUAAACCCAAGGUUUCCUACGCGAUGCUCGUCAUCGUAGGGUUAGUCGGGUCCUAAGUCGAGUCCGAAAGGGGUAGACGAUGGCAAAUUGGUUAAUAUUCCAAUACCAACAUUAGUGUGCGAUGGAAGGACGCUUAGGGCUAAGGGGGCUAGCGGAUGGAAGUGCUAGUCUAAGGUCGUAGGAGGUUAUACAGGCAAAUCCGUAUAACAAUACUCCGAGAACUGAAAGGCUUUUUGAAGUCUUCGGAUGGAUAGAAGAACCCCUGAUGCCAUCGAGCCAAGAAAAGUUUCUAAGUUUAGCUAAUGUUGCCCGUACCGUAAACCGACACAGGUGGGUGGGAUGAGUAUUCUAAGGCGCGUGGAAGAACUCUCUUUAAGGAACUCUGCAAAAUAGCACCGUAUCUUCGGUAUAAGGUGUGGUUCGCUUCGUAUUAGGAUUUACUCCGAAAGCGAAGAAACUUACAACAAAGAGUCCCUCCCGACUGUUUACCAAAAACACAGCACUCUGCUAACUCGUAAGAGGAUGUAUAGGGUGUGACGCCUGCCCGGUGCUCGAAGGUUAAUUGAUGGGGUUAGCAUUAGCGAAGCUCUUGAUCGAAGCCCGAGUAAACGGCGGCCGUAACUAUAACGGUCCUAAGGUAGCGAAAUUCCUUGUCGGUUAAAUACCGACCUGCAUGAAUGGCGUAACGAGAUGGGAGCUGUCUCAAAGAGGGAUCCAGUGAAAUUGUAGUGGAGGUGAAAAUUCCUCCUACCCGCGGCAAGACGGAAAGACCCCGUGGACCUUUACUACAGCUUGACACUGCUAUUUGGAUAAGAAUGUGCAGGAUAGGUGGGAGGCUUUGAGUAUAUGACGCCAGUUGUAUAUGAGCCAUUGUUGAGAUACCACUCUUUCUUAUUUGGGUAGCUAACCAGCUUGAGUUAUCCUCAAGUGGGACAAUGUCUGGUGGGUAGUUUGACUGGGGCGGUCGCCUCCCAAAUAAUAACGGAGGCUUACAAAGGUUGGCUCAGAACGGUUGGAAAUCGUUCGUAGAGUAUAAAGGUAUAAGCCAGCUUAACUGCAAGACAUACAAGUCAAGCAGAGACGAAAGUCGGUCUUAGUGAUCCGGUGGUUCUGUGUGGAAGGGCCAUCGCUCAAAGGAUAAAAGGUACCCCGGGGAUAACAGGCUGAUCUCCCCCAAGAGCUCACAUCGACGGGGAGGUUUGGCACCUCGAUGUCGGCUCAUCGCAUCCUGGGGCUGGAGCAGGUCCCAAGGGUAUGGCUGUUCGCCAUUUAAAGCGGUACGCGAGCUGGGUUCAGAACGUCGUGAGACAGUUCGGUCCCUAUCUGCCGUGGGCGUAAGAAGAUUGAAGAGAUUUGACCCUAGUACGAGAGGACCGGGUUGAACAAACCACUGGUGUAGCUGUUGUUCUGCCAAGAGCAUCGCAGCGUAGCUAAGUUUGGAAAGGAUAAACGCUGAAAGCAUCUAAGCGUGAAGCCAACUCUAAGAUGAAUCUUCUCUAAGCUCUCUAGAAGACUACUAGUUUGAUAGGCUGGGUGUGUAAUGGAUGAAAGUCCUUUAGCUGACCAGUACUAAUAGAGCGUUUGGCUUAUCUUUAAUAAAGCAU
rnacentral:rRNA from 1 species